AGGUGGGACUGGAAAUACCUCUGGAGAUGUUCUGGUCCAAUCUCCUGCUCAGAGCCUGCUCAGAGAGGGGCUCUUCCCUGACCUUUGGGGUGCUCUGCAGAGCUCAUCUCCUCCUGUGCCCAAGCAGGAGCCGGCCCCAGAGGUCUCACAGCCGGGAGUGGAAUCGAGCACGGGAUGCCCCGGCAGCAUCCUGUGAAGAGGGACAGAGAUGUUCACACCUGGCUACAAGAAGCUGGGAGUGGCUGGUGAAGUGGCACUAACAUUGAAGUCAGCAGCGAGGUGACAUGUGCCUCCCAGGAGACACUACCGAGAGAAGAGGGGCUGCAUCUCGCUUCCCACCUCUGCUGCCUUCAGGCUGAUGCCCCCGGCGCCGGGAAGGACCCAGCCUGGGGACCAGGACCCCAAAUGCUCUGUCCCCACACGCGUGGCCGGGGCAGCCGUGCCGUGCCCCGGCGCCGUGCCGAGCCCUCCCCGCGGAGCGCGGCAGGCUGUGUGACAAGCCAGACCAGCAUGGUGGAUGGCAGUAAUUAUCGUGCGCCCACAGCUGAAGGGGAGCAUAUGAUUCGAUAGCCCAGCCCGUGACAGCGCGGCCGCCGCGGCUCCAGCUGGGCCGGCCCGGACCCCGCGCAGCCCCUCGGAUGGAGAGCCCGGGAGGACGACGAGGAGGAGGAGGAGGAGGAGGAGGAGGAGGAGGAGGAGGAGGAGGAGGAGGAGAAGGAGAGAAGCCACCCUGGGAUGGGACUUCCCUCUUCAUCCCGGCAAAGUCUUCUCCACGCUCAUGGUCCCACGGGGGUGAGUGUUUGCGUCAUCCCCUGAGCCUCGUCCCUGGGGAGACCCAGCUGGGGGACAGCGUGACCCCCCCCGGGAUGCCCUUGCAGCCCUGCUGUGAAGCCACCCGGGCAUGUGACACCAUGACACCCAGGUGAGGACCCCACAGGACCUCUCCCCUCAGGGUGCAGCUCUGCUAUAUCCCCGUUUGGAGUGGGUGGGAAUGUUGGAGGACUCCACUCCUCCAUCAGAGCUGGGGAUGUGGAGGGAGGGUGUCUUUGAUGCCACUGGGACACAGUCUGGCCCUCUCUCAUGGCCGCCCGUGUUCCCCCAGCCUGCAUGGCCAUGUUUGGGGGCUGGGAAUGGCUUCCCAGGCAAGUCUGGCCCAGACCUUGGGGGGUUUCUCCCCUGUCUGAAGGGCCAACUGCCCCCCAAGCAUCAGGUCCUCACCCUGCUGGGUGAUGGCUCUGGGGGGAGCUGGGGGUCUCCUGGUGGAGGGGAAAAGGGCUGCUCAGCAACCACAGUUGGCUGGUCCUGACCCACUGGUGCCUGUGCCUGCCUCCUCCUCCUCCUCUUCCCUGCUGCUUCGAGGGUCUGAAGAGCCUCCUCCAGCUCCAGCCCAGCCCAAGUGGGUGCAGGCAGCUACUGGCACAAUCCAUAAUGUUUCCCUGUCUGCCUGGCACUGGAACGUGCUUGAGGGGAGCAGGAUGGGCACCCCAGCACCCAGAGCUCACCCAUGGACACACUGCCCUGCAGCAGGGCUGGGGGUCCCAGCCUGAGCCACCCUCCUGGCACACGGUGACAGUGAUGGCCAUUCCACGUGUCCUUCCUGAGGGGGCCCAGCCAGGAGCCCCGGCCGCAGCAGCAACCCCUCCCUCCGGGGUUACCGGGAUGGGGCUUCCUUACAGGCGACCCCCAAUCCCUCCUCCUGGUGCCUGCACUUUGGGCAGCAGCAGCGGCUGCUGGCUGUGGAGGUGAAGGCUCCUCGGUCUCUCUCCAGCUCGUGGCAGAGCGCGGGACACAGCGCAGGAUGAGGAAGGGCCCGCUCGCAUCCCGAUCCAUUAUUGCGGGCAGCGCCGGCGGGCGCCCGGGGCAGGGGCUGCAUUAUUGACGAAGGGGAAGGCAGGCCGAGGCGCAGGCAGGGACCCUCCUGCAGGGCUCAGCCCCGGGCAAAGCACUUCGCCUGCGCCGCAGAGCCGCAGAGCUGCCGGGCCUGGCCCGGGGCAGCGGCCGCAGCGGCCGCAGCCGCCGCCGCAGCCCGGUCGUGCGAUCCAGAGCAUCCCCCGCGCCCGGGAUGGUGCCGGGCUCGGGGCUCCCCUCGGCGCACCCCGGGGAGGGUGGCACGGACGGGCAGCAAUGCCCUUGUGAACCCCGCGCUGGCACCGGUGCUGCAGCUCUGCUCCCCUCCAGCCCGGCGCAGCGCUGGUGCUGCGCUUUUUUUAAGCUUCCCUCUGUCUCUCGGCGGAGAUUUGUGGCGUAAAAUGCACAAUAUGUUCUAUCUGCCCUGUGGGAGCCAUAAAAUAUUCACCAGCAGCUCCCAUUAUAGUCACAGUGAAUCACAGGGAACGCUCGAGCCCUCGCUCCCCGACGUGCCCCCUCCCCCUGCAGCCCCGGUGCAGCCUCGGGGCCCCGGCCGUGCCAGUGCCAGGGCCUGAGGAGCAGCCAGUGCCCGCCCAAAUCCCGCAGCAAGGACCCACAUUCCCACCUCCAUCCCUGAGAGACAUCCCCGGGAUCGGCGGGUCGAGGGCUGGUGACUGCACUGAUGGGAUGGCAGCUUACAGAAUGGUUGAGUUGGAAGGGACCAUCUUGUUCCACCCCCUGCCGUGGGCAGGGACACCCCCCACUAACCAGGUUGCUCCAAGCCCCAUCCAACCUGGCCUUGGACACUUCCAGGGAUGGAGCAUGGGCGGCAUCUCUGGCUGCCUGUGCUGGGGCCUCACCACCCUUCACCUUCAGCUGCCUGAACACCCUCGUGGGUGCCCAGGGAGGAGCAGCACCAGCCCUGUGCAUGAAGGAGACCAGGAUGGUGGCAGCAGCAGUGGGGUGGGCUCACAUGUCUACAGCAGCCUGUCCUGGCUGCCCUGUCCCACCACACACGGGCUGGUGUGUGAACAUCCCCAGGGUGACUUGUGCUGUCACUUGGCUUUUUGCAGUCACAGCUCCCUGAGGGAGGUGUCACAGCCCUGCCAGGGUGGUGGGACAGCCCCUGCCUGCUCCUUGACUCUGCUGUCACACCUGUGUCUCACUGCUCUUCAUAUGGCUCAGUACCACAGCACUCCUCUGCUUCCACCUCCUCCCGUGUCCUGCUGUCCAGCAUUCCGUUCCAUCCAUCCUUCCCUUGACCCACUGCCCAUCCCCACCUCCCCCUUCCGACCUCAGACUCAAGACUGACAGAGCCAAGGGAUGACAAAUUUCCCAAUAAAAUGACACCCUGCUCUGGAGCUGAUAUGUCAAACACAAUUUUCUCUUUUGCCACACAAUUAUAUGUAAUUAUAAAGCAGUUAAUGCUGCCUCUGCCCUUGGGAAUCGGGCCGAAUUAGGGUUGGAUUUCACCUCCACCCCUUCCAUGGCCACACUGCAGCUCUCAGCCCGGUCCAUGAGCCUGGUCCAUGAUGUCUCCUCAGAGGUCCUUACAGUGUCCCAUUGUCCCAGUGUCCCAGGCAGCAUCAUUUCCAUCCACUGCCAUCCCUGCACCUGCUCCUGGAACUUGUGUCCCCUCCCAGCACCAGCCCACACGAGUGUCCCCGGCUGCACCGGGCACUGCCGUGCCAAGCUCCUGGCAUAGCAGGAUUUGCCCCCGGUGUGUUGGGUGGCACAGGGCUCACUGGGACAUGGCUCCAGAGAGCCGUGGGCAAGGCAGGACACAGUCACCCACCUGGGCUGGUCAUCAUCACAAGGGCCAUCACAAGGGCUGAGAUGUCCCAGCACGUCCUGGGCUCUGAGCAGGCUCAGUGCGGGAUGGGGGGGCCGCAGUCACACACGGGGUCACCCCGUGGUGGCCACACAACCCACCGGGAUAGCCGGGAGGGAGCGGGGCCCAGGCAGCAGCUUCCCAGGGCGGCCGCGAGGGUUAAACCCGGCUCCUCUCCCUGAACAGACUGAGGGAAAGGAGGGAGCGUGGCAGUGCCCUCCCCGCCAAAAUUAACUCUCCAUCUGUUUCUCCCCGGCUGAGGCUGAUGGCUUGUGACAGGGCCUCCUGAAUGCAAAGAUGUUUCGCCCGGAAAAAUCUAUUACAAGUUGCUGUAAGAAAGACUGAAAUCCUCUCCUUCUGUCUCUGCCUACUGGUCUCAAGGUGCCCACCCGGGGCGAGCGCGGGCUGGCACACAGCCGGCCGCCUCCGCUCAGCCGGAAAGCUCUGCCCGCGCCAGCCGGGCUCGCCGCCGGACAAACGGCACAGGAGGGAGCCGGGUGCUGCCCUGGUGCUGGGGAGGAGGGAGAGCUGCUCCUUCAGCCCCAGCCCGGCCCCGGUGCCGCUGAGGCAGUGGCCACGGCACCAUCGCAGCCCUCGGCCAGGCCGUGCUGCGGGUGGGGAAACUGAGGCAGGAGGCCGGGGAAGGGGAGCCCGGCCGGGCGGGCGGUGGGUGCCCUCUCCCGGCCGCAGCACAGCCCUGCUCGGCCCUGCGACAGGAAACCUGCCACUUGGUUUACCGAGAAUUUCUGGAGCUUGCUUUAUUUUCGUCCCUUUCCGUGUCUCCACACAGCCUUUCUCGGCCCCCGCGCCCCGAAGUGCAGCUAAAAAACCCCAAAAUUCAAAUUCCCACUUCUUUUUGGAGCUCAGCUCUCUCUCCAGCACACUGCCAGAUGCUUCAUGGAAAUGCCUUCAAGACCUUUUGCUUUGACCCUAAAACCUCCCCCCUCAUCCCCGUUGUCUGUUCCGCAAAAAAGCCAGGCAGCUUCAGUAAAAAACAAAACUUUAUUUGGUCCAUCAGAACCUGAGUUUGAAAACCACCCAUGGAUAAUUCGUAUCAUACAGGGAUUACUGAUCUGAUUUACAAUUGAUAAAAUAUCCUAUGAUUCUGAAGAGCUGGACAGUAUUUACAGGGUUAAAAAUAUUCACAGCUCAGAAAAACAGAAAGAGAGAGGAGAAAAAAAGUGAAGGACAAAUCAUCCCGAGGAGGAAGGAGUUGGAAAGAGAGAAAACAGAUCGACAAACAAAAAUACAGACAGAGCUUGGCUCAGCAGUCCCAGCUGGGGGGACCAGGAGGGUGCCGGGGCAGCCCACCCCCCUGCCCACCCCCUGGGGGACACAGAGGGACAGGCUGGGCAGGGCCCCACACACACCCCUGCCCAGCCCAGCUGCUGGUGCAGGGUUUGGGGUGCAGGGAUUGGGGUGCAGGGUGCCCCCCAGCACAGUCCCUGCCAGAAGAGGGUCUAGCAUUGCCCACCACCUCCCUCAGCUGCAGGUCCACACAGCUUGGGAAGGAGAAGGUACACAGGGGGACCCCCAAAACACACACACA